AACGCUGGCGGCAGGCCUAAUACAUGCAAGUCGAGCGCGCCCUUCGGGGUGAGCGGCGGACGGGUGAGUAACGCGUGGGAAUAUGCCCUUCUCUAAGGAAUAGCCUCUGGAAACGGAGAGUAAUACCUUAUACGCCCUUUGGGGGAAAGAUUUAUCGGAGAAGGAUUAGCCCGCGUUAGAUUAGGUAGUUGGUGGGGUAAUGGCCUACCAAGCCUACGAUCUAUAGCUGGUUUGAGAGGAUGAUCAGCCACACUGGGACUGAGACACGGCCCAGACUCCUACGGGAGGCAGCAGUAGGGAAUCUUAGACAAUGGGGGCAACCCUGAUCUAGCCAUGCCGCGUGUGUGAUGAAGGCCCUAGGGUCGUAAAGCACUUUCGCCAGAGAUGAUAAUGACAGUAUCUGGUAAAGAAACCCCGGCUAACUCCGUGCCAGCAGCCGCGGUAAUACGGAGGGGGUUAGCGUUGUUCGGAAUUACUGGGCGUAAAGCGCACGUAGGCGGAUUAGUAAGUUAGAGGUGAAAUCCCAGGGCUCAACCCUGGAACUGCCUUUAAUACUGCUAGUCUUGAGUUCGAGAGAGGUAAGUGGAAUUCCGAGUGUAGAGGUGAAAUUCGUAGAUAUUCGGAGGAACACCAGUGGCGAAGGCGGCUUACUGGCUCGAUACUGACGCUGAGGUGCGAAAGUGUGGGGAGCAAACAGGAUUAGAUACCCUGGUAGUCCACACCGU
rnacentral:rRNA from 1 species